rnacentral:rRNA from 1 species
GACGAACGCUGGCGGCGUGCCUAAUACAUGCAAGUCGAGCGGAUGAUGGAGGAGCUUGCUCCUCCUGAUUCAGCGGCGGACGGGUGAGUAACACGUGGGCAACCUGCCCUGUAGAUUGGGAUAACUCCGGGAAACCGGGGCUAAUACCGAAUAACCCACCGGACCUCAUGGUCUGAUGUUGAAAGACGGCAUCUCGCUGUCACUACAGGAUGGGCCCGCGGCGCAUUAGCUAGUUGGUGAGGUAACGGCUCACCAAGGCCACGAUGCGUAGCCGACCUGAGAGGGUGAUAGGCCACACUGGGACUGAGACACGGCCCAGACUCCUACGGGAGGCAGCAGUAGGGAAUCUUCCACAAUGGACGAAAGUCUGAUGGAGCAACGCCGCGUGAGUGAAGAAGGUUCUCGGAUCGUAAAACUCUGCUGUGAGGGAAGAACAAGUACCGGAGUAACUGCCGGUACCUUGACGGUACCUCAUUAGAAAGCCACGGCUAACUACGUGCCAGCCGCCGCCGUAAAAC